rnacentral:rRNA from 1 species
AUUGAACGCUGGCGGCGUGCUUAACACAUGCAAGUCGAGCGGUAACAGGCGUAGCAAUACGUGCUGACGAGCGGCGAACGGGUGCGUAAUACAUGGGAAUCUGCCUAGUAGUGGGGAAUAACCCGGCGAAAGCCGGGCUAAUGCCGCAUACGAUCCACGGAUGAAAGCGGGGGACCGUUCGGGCCUCGCGCUAUUGGAUGAGCCCACUGUCGGAUUAGCUAGUUGGNGAGGUAACGGCUCACCAAGGCGACGAUCCGUAGCUGGUCUGAGAGGACGGCCAGCCACACUGGGACUGAGACACGGCCCAGACUCCUACGGGAGGCAGCAGUGGGGAAUAUUGGACAAUGGGGUAACCCUGAUCCAGCGACGCCGCGUGUGUGAAGAAGGCCUGCGGGGUUGUAAAGCACUUUCGGU